GACGAACGCUGGCGGCGUGCUUAACACAUGCAAGUCGAACGGUGAACCAGAGCUUGCUCUGGGGAUCAGUGGCGAACGGGUGAGUAACACGUGGGCAACCUGCCCCAGACUCUGGGAUAACCCCGGGAAACCGGAGCUAAUACCGGAUAUGACCACUUCGGACAUCCGAUGGUGGUGGAAAGUUUUUCGGUCUGGGAUGGGCCCGCGGCCUAUCAGCUAGUUGGUGGGGUAAUGGCCUACCAAGGGCGACGACGGGUAGCCGGCCUGAGAGGGCGACCGGCCACACUGGAACUGAGACACGGGUCCAGACUCCUACGGGAGGCAGCAGUGGGGAAUAUUGCACAAUGGGC
rnacentral:rRNA from 1 species